rnacentral:misc_RNA from 1 species
GACGAACCGUACGAACGUUGUUCGGAGUCACUGGGCUUAAAGGGCGCGUAGGCGGGCUGCCAAGUCCGUGGUGAAAUCCCCCGGCUCAACCGGGGAAUGGCCUCGGAUACUGGCGACCUUGAGGGCGGUAGGGGCGUGCGGAACUGUAGGUGGAGCGUUGAAAUGCGUUGAUAUCUACAGGAACUCCGGUGGCGAAGGCGGCACGCUGGACCUCUUCUGACGCUGAGGCGCGAAAGCCAGGGGAGCGAACGGG